GGCUUUUUCCCCAUAUCCUUUGAUUCCUUUGGCCCUAAGAGCUAAAUCUAUCUCUCUCUUGAAAACAUCCAGUGAAUUGGUCUCCACUGCCUUCUGUGGCAGAGAAUUCCACUGUGGCUGAGAAUUUCCUAUCCCUCAAGUUGCCAGCAGAUAUCUUUGACCAAUUCAAAGAGUUACCUUAUGCACCAGCAAAAAGGCUUGAUGAAAGUGCAUGCUUGAUACUGUAUAUAUGACACUUUUAAAGGUAUCUGACAAGGCACCUUGUGAAUGAUUCUGGAAAACUCAAAAUUUUAGAAUUAAUAAGCAGUAUCCUCCACAUGCCCACAGCCUUUUUAAAUAGACUACAACAGGUCAUAAGGGCAUAAUUUCACAUUUUGCCUGCGAAGCAAAAGUUAGAGAUGUUAUAAACAGUAAUGAUGAUAUGGUCAUUUAUGAAAUGAGCAGAAACCAUCAGAUGAAAUUGGCUCAGAAGAAGGAAGUGAUGUAAUUGUUGACUGGUGGUUUGUGACUGGAUGAUUGUUAAAGUGAGGUUCUUCAUGGCUCAGUUCUUGCUAUUGGAUGUUGGAUGUUAUUCCAACAUUAUUUCGAUUUUUAAAUAAAAAGAUGUUGCACAGUAGAAAGGAGCUUGGAAACAGGCCUGGUGGAUAGGAAGGGAGCGCGGGAACAGCACUGGCAAGUGGAGAAGGGUGCACAGGAACUGGGGCCCCAAUUUUAAUGGAAAAUGUACAAAAUUUGGUAACACAAAUACGAAUCUGGUUUCUCCAGAUGAUUUAGUUAAGUUGUUAAUGAUUCUAUUGCUGAAAGGAUAUGUGUUAAUUCAUUACAACUAUUUGAUGUAUGUCAUUUUGACCUUCCGCCAUUAAAUGACUUUUACAUAAUGAAA